UUCUCAGCAAACUGACACAAGGACAGAAAACCAAACACUGCAUGUUCUCACUCACAGAGAGGAGGCAGUGCAAAAUGGGAGAAUAGAAGCCUAUACUGUUUGUCCCUUCUGCAGCUACACCAAAUUUUAACAACUAUCUGCACACAGAAAAGCACCAUCACAAGCACCAAAGCUCAGAAUUUGAAAUGAUGGUUAACUUCGAAAAUGUUACAAAAUUGGCUUCUGAAUUCUACCUUUGUUCAUGAGCAAUGCACUUCAGUCUAAUUAUCAUUUUUAUAGGUAAGUUCUGAUUGCUUUUUAAUUGCACUCAUUUUCAUUGACUUCCUUCAAUUUCCCUAUAAUAUGUCUAGUUGUGAGAUGUGUGUAUGUGCGAACAUGUUUGUAUAUAGCGAGAUAUUCUUGACUUAGUAUACUGCCUCAGUCUCAGGACUCAUGUCUUUCUUAAUUCUGCCGUGUUUGUAGUUACUCCUUUGAACACAAUUACUUCCAGGUUUUUUUUCUGUUACUUACUUUGGGAAUUGAAAUACUGCACUAGCCUAAUAACAGAUCUCAAGCGUGCACUUUUCCUCACCCCAACAGGCCAUUCCCAGCACAUUAGCUAGAAUGAUCCUGUAACAUAAAUCAUAUCCGAGCUCUUCUUACUUUGCUAAGACUCACACAUGCUUCCAUAAAUUAUUGAAUAUAUUUGUUAUUCUUAUAAUUUCUUAAAUAUUAUGAUAUCUAACACAUCUGCUACCUCUAUUUCUUACAUUUUUCUAAUCAUACCUGUUUUCUACUUGUUGGACAAACAUGCUGUUCGUGGGGCCCGCGUAUGUUCCCAACAUAGGACAUUUGCUCUAUUUCUUCCUUCUGCUCAGAGUACAAGUCUAAUAACUAUCCAUUUGACCAAAUUUCUUAGUCUGUCCAAUUUUCAAAUGUCCUCUUCUCAGUGAGACCUUUCCAGAGCACUUUAUGUUAUACUGUGACCUGAUCCCACUCUCACGCCUGACUAGGAUGUAAACUUCUUAAAGAUGAGACUUUUUUUUCCCACAGAUUUAUUUCAAAUGCUUUGAAAAGUGGAUGGCAUGCAGUAGAUUAUAAUUUUUGAGUGAAUGACCUCAAAAAUCUAUCCACCAUGUCUCUGCUAUACUUUUAUAGUUUUCAUAUCUAUCUGUGUUGCGUUCUGAGUGAUUCCCAAAACUGUAUACAGAUAGGCUAAUUCUCUCUUCCCCUGGAUCUGAUAUGCUACUUAGAUCAGCAGUCCCCCACCUUGGCACCAGAGACCAGUUUCAUGGAAGACAAUUUUUCCAUGGACUGGAGUUUGGGGAUGAUUCAAGCACAUUACAUUUGUUGUGCACUUCAUAUGUAUUAUUAUUACAUUAUAAUACAUAGUGAAAUAAUUGUAUAACUCACCAUACUGUAGUGAUGGUUCCAUCUGGGGGUGAUGGGAAACAGUGACAGUCCAUCAGGCAUUCGAUUCUCAUAAGGAGCAGGCAACCUAGAUCCCCUGCGUGCGCAGUUCAUAAUAGGGUUCCUGCUUCAGUGAGAAUCUAAUGCCAUUACUGAUCUGACAGGAUUCAGAGUUCAGGCAGUAAUGUGAUGGGGAGCAACUGUAAAUACAAAUGAAGUUUUGCCUGCUCACCUUCUGCUCACCUCCUGCUAUGUGGCACGGUUCCUAACAGGCCUCAAACUGAACCAGUACCCAGGGUUGGGGACCUCUGGCUUAGUUAAGAUUUUUAAAGUAUUAGUGACUUUUAUUUGCAAUAUUUACUUUCUGUUUCUUCAUAGUUUGUUUUUUGAUUUUGACUUUCGGUUUCUAUUUCUUUUUUUUCAUGUAAAAAUGUACUUACUUUAAUUCAUCUUUCAAGCUGUUUAUCAUAUUAGUUCUUGAUGUGAGAACUAUUCUCUUUCUUCUAAAGUGUUCCUUAUCUGUGCUAUGCUUUGUUAUGUGGUUUGGAAUUUUUGGCUGUGAGCUCAUCUUCAGAGGGGUUGUUUUCUGUAGAAGAACAAUGGUUUCUGUAUUCUAGAGGCAUUUUUAUCACUCCUAUAUGAUUAUGUUUAUGUCCUACUGCCAGGAUUCUGUGUUUCUCCAAUUUCUCAACUUAUUUUAAGUUAAUUUAUCUGCUUGUAAUAACUGCAACUGCAACACACAUCCAAGCUUUAAGCAAGCAUGAGUGUUUCAAUUGUGCCAUGCAUGAUGUUAGAUCCCUUUUUGACUUUAAAACACUAGCUCUUUGCACCUGAGGCUUUGCCAAGUUUCACUGGCACUGUAACCUUAUAGGUUCAGCCUCUGCUAAUUCUCUUACUUUCUGUAUUAUAUCAUGUUCAUGCUGCUGAUAAAGACAUACCUGAGACUGGGAAGAAAAAUAGGUUUAUGAACUAACAGUUCCAUGUGGGUGGGGAAUCCUCACAUUCAUGCAGAAGGUGAAAGGCAUCUGUCACAUGGAGGCAGACAAGAGAAGAGAGGGAGCCAAGUGAAAUGGGUUUCCCCUUGUAAAACCAUCAGAUCUUGUGAGACUUAUUCACUACCAUGCAAACAGUAUGUGGGAAACUGCCCCCAUAAUUCAAUUAUCUCCCAGUGUGUCCCUCCCAAAACACAAGGGAAUUGUGGGAACUGUAAUUCAAGAUGAGAUUUGGGUGGGGACACAGCCAAGCCAUAUCACUUUCCAUUUUCCCAGCUCUUUCUCUCCUGGUACCUGAUCAUUUUUUCUUGGUUUCACAAUUGGCUGUGUAUGUUUCAAGUACAUUUUAUUUUAUUAAAUACAUAUGUGUGUUUGAAGCUUGAGGAGAAAUUUUCUUCAUUAAAAGUAUGCAAAAAUUAUCUUAUGGUGAGUCACGCCUUUCUGCUCAGCUACACGUUUUAGCCCACACUAUGUACUCUUGGCAUGAUAUACUGCAAUUACACAAACCUCUUCUCAUUUUCCAAAACACCAUGAAUAUUCUUGCCCUUCUAACUUUGCCUAAGCACUUUACUCUGCCUAUAGUUGAUUCCUUUAAUUACCUAUUCAAAAUUCUUCUGGAAAAACUUAUAAGUGUCAUUUAAUACCCAAACAGAGUCCUUUCUGUACAGCAAUCACAGAAUAUUCUAUGUAGAAUUGCCCUGUAGGUGGCAUUUAUGAGUCUACCUUCUGAAGCAGACUGGCCACCUCUUAUAAACAGAAGAAAUAUAUUUUACUUUGCUGCCUAACUGCCUAUUGUGGCUAAUAAAUAAUAAAAGUAUAAACAUGUAAUUUAAAAUGUAAAUCAAUAUUUGGAAGCAAUAUUAGAAAAGCUUCUCUUCCUUCUGAUUUUAACUACUGUGAGAUAUAAUGUGCUUUCAUGAAAAACAUGUUCUUCGGUGUGCUCUAGAUGUUGCUAUGUUUACCUUUCUCUUCCGUAUAAAUUAUAAGCAUUAAUUAACUCUCAAACAUGAACUAACUCAACAAUAAAACAAAAGGUAACAUUUCUAUCUCUCUUCAUAACUAAAAAAAGACAUACUUAGUGGAUAUUCUACCUCUAUACUUUUCAUUUAUUAUUAAAAUACAUGUAAAUAUAAUCAUAAUUCAUAAUUCUAACUUUAUCAUCUGCUUCUUAUAUUCCUAUAUUAGCAAAAUAAAAUUAAAUAGAUGCUUUUAAAUAUUAUAAAAGGUUUAAAUUUGUUUAAAAUUGGUAAUCUAUAUGCGAUGUCUCUAUAUUGAGUGAAAAUUUGUUCUAAAUCUGUAAAUUUAAAUAACUGCUUACUACAUAACUAAUUCUAUAAAUUCAAAUUUAUAGUUUUAGAACAAAUUUUCUCUCAAUAUAGAGACAUGGCAUAAGGGUUACCAUUUUCAACUCAAUAUAACAGGAAAAAUCAAACUCUAUUUUAAAUAUAAAGAUGUUAGCAACUCUUUCCAAUGAUGAAUUUGUUUCAUGGGAAAUUUUAACAACAAUAUAAACUAAUUUUUUAUUCCCGAUGAAUAAUAAAAUAUUACACCUUGGUGCAUUAUGCUUUGAGAAUUAUUCUUAGGCUAUCCAUGUAAAUAAUGGACAUUUAAUUUCACAUAGUAAACCCAGAGUGCAUUUAAAGAUAAGACUUCUGAUUGGUUUAGACAUAUAUCAAUGCAUAAUGUCAUACAUAUAACAAAGAUUGACAUAAAAGCUAAUGAUGAUGAAAUAGGGUUAUAUCUACUGUGCAACCAGGCAUUUAUGUAGAGUAACAUCAACUUAAAUAUUGAUACAUGGACAAUUUAGCUUUUCAGUUUAUGCGAAAUGGCUAAUCUUCAUUUUCUUGCCAAUUAAAAAUCAUCUUAGUCAAAUCACUAUACACAUAUUUAUAUGUGUUUAUCAUAUAUAGUCAAAUUACUAUAUUUAUGUGUGCAUACAUAUACAUAUACAGUUAGAUUACUUAAUCAAAUGCAUAUAAAAUCAAAUAUAUAAUUGGGAUACAUAAUUUUGGAAAGGCAGAGAAACAAAUGUGUCCUCCUUCCAAAGAGGUUCUCAGGCUUAUCCCUACUGUGUAAGAGAUGAGUUGUUAGAUUAAGCCCAUCUCUUAGCACUAGUGCAAGACUUUCUCUGGAAAGCACAAGGUCACAAACUACAGGUAAGUGUCUUAGAGAAUGGUGAAAGACCAGGAAGCUGUAAAUGUUGGGAAGAUUCUGGACUGCAGAGAUGUUUGGAGAUGUGAGCAAAAGUUGACAUAAGCCAGGUUGAAGACCACUGUUUUUUCUACCCUACACGAGGCCAAGAAUAUAAUUGAAUUGAUGUGCAGUGAGUAAUCCAUAGGUCCCUGGAAACUAUUUUAAGCAAAAUUACAUAUAUUAAAACCACUUUACCAUAGGUGAAUGGUGUAAACAAGAGUUCAGUUCCUACAGCAUAUUUCUGGUCACAGGAACAUCAAUAAACUUUUAACUAAAAAUGCAAAACCCUUCUAAUGUGAAUCACUGAAAUAAUUGUGAUCUAUACAUACAUUUAAAAAAGAUGAGUAACAACAAUAGAAAAUUAUUUACCCAAUAUUUGGUGACUCAGUGAGUGAUAGCAGCCAUAGUGGUGGUGAAUUAAGUCAAAGAAUAAAUAUUUACAAAAUGAAAAUUGUAAGGAACCCCUCCUCCUAUCAGGAAGUCCAAAAAGGAUAACAAAUAUGGUCAGUUCACUGAGUGCUCUCCUACGGCAUUGUUGAUUAUUAUGCAUUUAUAUUAUUAUUGUAUAUUUCAUGGAUUUUUAAUUUUACAAUUAUUUGUAUCCAUUCAUUUAUUGAUUUUCUACUCCCUUAUUCCAGUCCAGGGUUGCAGGUGGCUGAAGACCAUCUCAGCAGCUCAGGGUGCAAAAUAGAAACCAAACGUAGACAGGAUGCCGUUCCACUGUGGGGUACACUCACUUCCAUAUCCAUAUUCAUUCAGACUGGGACAAUUUAGACAUGCUAAUUAUCUUAACGUGUAUGUCUUUGGAAUGUGAGAUAAAACUGGGAGAAAACUCACACAGACAUGGGGAGAAUGUGUAAACUCUACACAGGUAGUGCCCUGGGUGGAAAUCCUUUUUGUAUUUCUCAUUAAUGUUAUAACACAAUGUCAUUGAAUGAAACAAUGAUAUUUGAAGACCUGCUGUGAAUCAGAGUUAACAGAAGUGAAAGCACUAUGAAAGAAAUGAUAUUUGGUAUGUAUGUAGUAAUAAAGAGAUUUGUUCUUUAUUUAUGAGAGCAAUAAAAGUGAAAGCAAAUAGCAUUACAGUAGAGCAAGGGAUUUCAAACAAUGAGGGGGUGAAUAUAACAAUUAUAAUUCUACCAAACCAUUAUUUUACUAAAGUUAAACCAAUGCACAUAAAAACUUGUAAAUAUAUAAUAAGAUGGUAGAAAUAAAAAUGAUGGUGUUACCACACCAUAUAUGAAAGAUUUGGAUUUUCUUAUUAGAAGACAGAAAUAUCACACUAAACGAAAAAACAAAAUGCUUUUCUGCACUGUUACAAAUAAAACACUCAAAAUGAAGUAGUAAAAAAUGUUAAAAAUGAGAUGAUACUUAAAAGUUCUUAGCUCCCAUAAUAUUUUGUAACAUAUUUGAUAAAUAAUACUAGUAGAAAAAAUUGUUGAGUAAGUCUUAAUAUGUAAUUGACACCAUGAAAUAUUGCCUCCAUACAAAAGAAUGAUAGAAGUGCUAUGUCACUGGCUUUAUAAAUGUUCCCUAAGUAAUUUUAGUAAGUAAAACAAAAUUUCAAAGUGUUCAUAUUUGAUCUCAUUUUAUGUGUAAAAAUGUUGAAAAAAUCUCCUAUAUAUUUACAUGUUAUUGUGGACAGCAUAUGAAAUACAUAACCCAAGAUGUCAAUGAAGAUUAUGUAGAGAAGAUAUUAGUGAACUAUUGAAGAAAGAUAAAAACACUAGUAAUUUAAAAAAACUAAAAUUCUGUCUAAAAAGCUUGGUAAAUGACUAGCUAAACUACUUGAAGGAAAUGUAAUCACAGUGAAGAAAAACAUAGAAAAUUUUAGCAGAGAAAACAUAUACAACAAUAAUCAAUGGAAUUUUAGAAUGGAAAAAUUAAAGAACAAAAUAUAAAGUGGAUGAACUUAGCAGAAUAGAACUAAUUGCUAUCUUUUAAUUGAAGCACUUAAUUCACUAAUAUUUAAUGUAAUUAUUACUAUGGAUACGCUAAGAUUUAAUUGUUUGUUUUCUCUUUGGCUUCUUUGUUGUUGUCAUCCUUCACAAUUUUAUUGGCAUUUUCCAAUAACCAACUUCUGGCUUUUCUAACUUUUUUCUAUUACAUCCAUUUCUGUUCUUAUAUUAAUUAUUUUCAUCCUUCUACUAACUUUGGGUUUACUUUGGUCUUUUCUGGUCUUCUUAAAGUGGAAUUUUAGUUCAUUUUAAAGACUUUUAAAAAAUAUUUCUAACAUUGAGAAUACUCAUAAGAGUUGCUUCAAAGUACAUAUCUGUGCCAGGCCUGGUAGCUCAUACCUAUAAUCCCAACAUUUGGGAGGCCAAGGUGGGAGGAUUGCUUGAGCCCAGGAAUUCGAGACUAGCCUGGCCAACAUAGUGAGAUUCCAUCUAUAUCUCACUUAAAAAUAUAAUAUUUUAAAAGAGGAAAACAUAUUUAUCUGGGUCAUCUCAAGUGUAGCCCUCACAGAGAGUCGGAAAACAUAUUUCAGGAUAUCAUGCAUGAAAAUUUUGUGUAGUAUUAUUUUGUAAUAUAGUAGCAUUUUUUCUAGAGUUUAAAAUUGUUACCUUCUGGAGGGUUACUCUGUUAGGAGUUUAAUCUACUGAGAAACUGAACUCUGGGAGAAGUUCUUUAGAACUAUCUUUUGUAGAGAACAUGCCAUUUUUCACAUGACUUUAAUAGGAGAUAAUUUUUUAAACUUAAUGUCAUCAUUUAAUUAUGAAAUUUAUUGACUUUUCGUAUCUAGUAUAGGAUAAUCUGUGUAUCAAAAUUUUUAAAGUGGAAAUAAGAAAUAUUAAAGCUAUACAAUCUAGAAAGAUGAUGAGUUUACCAAUUUAUUCACUAUUGAAACACAAUAUAUUUCUCUGCUGUUACCUAACUAUAAAUUAGAUGGAACUGUGUUUUUUUCUGCUUUUUUUUUUCAGUUUGCUGUUUCUGUAGCCAUAUUGUAUUCUGUGUCAAAUAAAAUCCAGUUGGAUUUAAAAAACAAAAAGAAAUAAACAAAAUAUAAUUAGGGCUUCUGUAAUAUAGAAAUACCAAUAUUUCUUUGGAACAAUGUUAGAAUUCUUACAUUUACCAGAGUUUAAUAGUAAGCUUUAAUACUGUGCAUUAUAGGCCGGGUGUGGUGGCUCACGCCUGUAAUACCAGCACUUUGGGAGGCCGAGGAUGGCAGAUCACUUGAGGACAGGAUUUCGAGACCA